UUUAAAGUCGGGCCUGCCCUAUGAACUUUAAAUGGCUGCAGUAUUUUGACUGUACAAAGGUAGCAUAAUCAUUAGUUUUUUAAUUGAGAACUUGUAUGAAUGGUCUGAUGAGAAAAUUACUGUCUCAGUUUUAUUUUAUUAGAAUUUAAUUUUUAAUUAAGAAAGAUUAAAUGGUUUAGAAAGACGAGAAGACCCUAUAGAGUUUUAUUUAUUGUUUCAGUAAUUACUUUUAGAUUAUUUUAUUUUACUUGAUAUAGUAAAUUUUAUUGGGGUGAUAGAAAAAUUUAAUUAACUUUUUAUUAUUUAAACAUUUAUUUAUGAAAAUUUGAUCCUGACUUAAGAUUAAAAGAAAAAAUUACCUUAGGGAUAACAGCGUAAUUUAUUUUUAUAGUUCAAAUUGAAAAAUAAGAUUGCGACCUCGAUGUUGGAUUAAAAUUAAUUUUAGGCGCAAAAGCUUAGGAAUUAAGUCUGUUCGACUUUUAAAAUUUUACA
rnacentral:rRNA from 1 species